UACGUAGGGGGCGAGCGUUGUCCGGAAUUAUUGGGCGUAAAGAGCGUGUAGGCGGUUCGGUAAGUCUGCCGUGAAAACCUGGGGCUCAACCCCGGGCGUGCGGUGGAUACUGCCGGGCUAGAGGGUGGUAGAGGCGAGUGGAAUUCCCGGUGUAGCGGUGAAAUGCGCAGAUAUCAGGAAGAACACCCGUGGCGAAAGCGGCUCUCUGGAACGGUAUUGACGCUGAGGCGCGAAAGCCAGGGGAGCGAACGGG
rnacentral:rRNA from 1 species